GAUGAACGCUGGCGGCGUGCCUAAUACAUGCCAGUCGAGCGAACAGACGAGGAGCUUGCUCCUCUGACGUUAGCGGCGGACGGGUGAGUAACACGUGGAUAACCUACCUAUAAGACUGGGAUAACUUCGGGAAACCGGAGCUAAUACCGGAUAAUAUAUUGAACCGCAUGGUUCAAUAGUGAAAGACGGUUUUGCUGUCACUUAUAGAUGGAUCCGCGCCGCAUUAGCUAGUUGGUACGGUAACGGCUUACCAAGGCGACGAUGCGUAGCCGACCUGAGAGGGUGAUCGGCCACACUGGAACUGAGACACGGUCCAGACUCCUACGGGAGGCAGCAGUAGGGAAUCUUCCGCAAUGGGCGAAAGCCUGACGGAGCAACGCCGCGUGAGUGAUGAAGGUCUUCGGAUCGUAAAACUCUGUUAUUAGGGAAGAACAAAUGUGUAAGUAACUAUGCACGUCUUGACGGUACCUAAUCAGAAAGCCACGGCUAACUACGUG
rnacentral:rRNA from 1 species